AGGGGUUUAGCUCAGCUGGUAGAGCAUCGGUCUCCAAAACCGAGGGUCGUGAGUUCGAAUCUCUCAGCCCCUGCCA
rnacentral:tRNA from 1 species